rnacentral:lncRNA from 1 species
ACAGAGAUCACAAGGAUCAUAGGGUUGUGAUCUAAUUUUCAAAUCCAAAUUUUUGAUAAUUUCUCUUUAACCGUGUUCACAAACCAUCUCUUUGUAGGGCAUUACAUCAAAUUGAAGUUGUGAUUCUCAAAAUUGUAUUAGCUCUCCUUUCAACUGUGCUUUUCCCAUUUUGAUCUUGUUUACUGAGCAAACUUGACCUGUGCUGUGUCAACAUACUCUACAUUCCUGAGUCUGAGAAUGUCACUGUCCAUAACCAUUCCACGAGAAGGUCUCUUGGGCUUGAUGUUGGAGAACAGAUGUGCCUUUAGCUUCAAAGUGGAGUCAGCCUUUCUGUUAGCUCUGCACGUCCUAUGUCGAGAUGGAAUACAGGCUGCAGGAAGAGACCAGUUUUCUCCCCAUUCUUCCACUGCUGUGUAUUGGCCACCCUGUGCAUAUCUGUAGGCGGGCCCUACUGCGUCUGACAUUGCUGCUGCUGCUGCUGCUCCUGCUGAACACUCGUGUAGCCAUUCACAAGGCAUCUCAGUGCCUCACCUUCUCAUCUGGAAGAGGGGCUCAUCUACCUCUUGACAACCGCGUUUUUGUCUUACGUCCUGUGGUGAUGCGGCCAGUGGAAAAGUACUCAGUGAAGACUCAUUACAAUGCUUGGUAUGAUUUGCCAUCUUGCUACUCAUCACCCAUUAAUUCCCUUUCAAAUGCAGAUCUUUUAGA